GAUAUGUUUGGUGUCUGCAACACUGAGCCGUGCUUCCUGUCCCCCAGGCCCCAUAUGUGACACAACCAUCUGUUGGGAUGAGGAAUCAUGUCGCACACACUCUGGUUGGAGACACUGUCAGUGUACGCCAUACUUCAUGGCGUCAUUUACACAUUCAUGUCCCGAAUGGGUUUUCUUGAGCUGUUCCUUAUUUAACGUGAACUUGGACUCCAUGAUGUGCGAUGGAUAUGGCUGCGAUGACCUAACCCCAAUAUGAGAGAACCGGAAUGUUUGUGCGACAUAUUGUUGGUGAUUGUACGUUCAGCACAGUUCCAUAUAUGAUAUUAUCAUUGUUGAAGAGGUCACAUUUUCAUGUUGUCUUGAUCAAAAUUUUGAUUAAAC